rnacentral:misc_RNA from 1 species
CAAGCUGAUCACUCAGUACGAUCAGACUGCAGCGGCCGAGAUGAAGCGCACCAACGCCAUCCGGCUGCUCAUGUCGGCAGUCAUCUCCGGUCGCAUUCCUGGCGAUCAGUACAAGAAGAUGCUCGCUGAGAUCAACAAGGAGUUUGAGGAAGGAUCAAAGAAAGGAUCGAAGUACGGCGAGACGAUCGAAUCCAUCAAGGAGAAGCAUCUCCCCGGUUUCGCUGCGCAGAAGACCUACAACGAGCAGCUGGCUGAAGCCAAGCGUUUGUUCGACGAAGGCGGCCUGACGGGCACUGAAUACGCCCAGGUCAUCGCCCACAUCAAGCAGGAAUACGACAACAGCAUCGCUUCUGCACAGAACGCGACUCAAAGCACGAAUCUGUACGCUGAGGCGAUGAAGAACGCAGC